CGGGCGGUGCUAUACAUGCAGUCGAGCGGACUUUAAAAGCUUGCUUUUAAAGUUAGCGGCGGACGGGUGAGUAACACGUGGGCAACCUGCCUGUAAGACUGGGAUAACUUCGGGAAACCGGAGCUAAUACCGGAUAAUUCUUUUCCUCUCAUGAGGAAAAGCUGAAAGACGGUUUCUCCUGUUCCUUUCCGAAGGGCCCCCCGGCCCAUUACUUAUUUGGGGAGGUACCGGUCCACCAGGGCACCAAUCCUUACCCAACCGGAAAGGUGGACCGCCCACCCGGGAACGGAACCACGGCCCAAAUUCCACCGGAAGGCACCAUUAGGGAUCCUCCCCCAUGGAACAAAGUUCGAAGGAACAACCCCCCCGGGAUGGAGGAAGUUUCCGGACCUAAAACCCCUUUGGUUAGGGAGAACAGUCCAGAAUAACUGCUUGUACUUGACGUUCCUACCAAAGCCAAGGCAACUACUGCCACCCGGGGAAAAAAAAAUAUAUUAUUUUUUUUUUUUGUUCAGGCGAACGGCGGCGGGGUUCCUUAUUCCUUCCAAUUGAACCGGAUUUUAAAAGCUGGUUUUUAAAUUAACGGGGGGAGGGGGGGUUACCAGUGGGCCACCCGCCCGUUAGGAUGGGGAAAAUUUGGGGAACCGGAAGUUAAUCCCGAUAAUCUUUUUCCUCCCCUGGGGGAAAAGUGAAAGGAGGCAUUUGGCUGUCACUUACAGAUGGGCCCGCGGCGCAUUAGCUAGUUGGUGAGGUAACGGCUCACCAAGGCAACGAUGCGUAGCCGACCUGAGAGGGUGAUCGGCCACACUGGGACUGAGACACGGCCCAGACUCCUACGGGAGGCAGCAGUAGGGAAUCUUCCGCAAUGGACGAAAGUCUGACGGAGCAACGCCGCGUGAGUGAUGAAGGUUUUCGGAUCGUAAAGCUCUGUUGUUAGGGAAGAACAAGUACAAGAGUAACUGCUUGUACCUGACGGUACUACCAGAAAGUCCG
rnacentral:rRNA from 1 species